AUUGAACGCUGGCGGCAGGCCUAACACAUGCAAGUCGAGCGAGCGGCGGACGGGUGAGUAAUAUCGGGGAAAAUGCCUGAUGGAGGGGGAUAACAACUGGAAACGGUAGCUAAUACCGCAUCCCAUCAGAUGUGCCCAGAUGGGAUUAGCUGGUAGGUGGGGUAACGGCUCACCUAGGCGACGAUCCAUAGCUGGUCUGAGAGGGUGACCGGCCAGACUGGAACUGAGACACGGUCCAGACUCGUACGGGGGGCAGCAGUGGGGAAUAUUGCACAAUGGGCGAAAGCCUGAUGAAGCCAUGCCGCGUGAGUGAAGAAUGCCUUCGGAUGGUAAAGCACUUUCAGCGGGGAAGCGUUACCCGCAGAAGAAGCACCGGCUAACUCCGUGCCAGCAGCCGCGGUAAUUC
rnacentral:rRNA from 1 species